rnacentral:rRNA from 1 species
CCUACGGGGAGCAGCAGUGAGGAAUAUUGGUCAAUGGACGAGAGUCUGAACCAGCCAAGUAGCGUGAAGGAUGACUGCCCUAUGGGUUGUAAACUUCUUUUAUAUGGGAAUAAAAUGUUCCACGUGUGGGAUUUUGUAUGUACCAUAUGAAUAAGGAUCGGCUAACUCCGUGCCAGCAGCCGCGGUAAUACGGAGGAUCCGAGCGUUAUCCGGAUUUAUUGGGUUUAAAGGGAGCGUAGGUGGAUUGUUAAGUCAGUUGUGAAAGUUUGCGGCUCAACCGUAAAAUUGCAGUUGAAACUGGCAGUCUUGAGUACAGUAGAGGUGGGCGGAAUUCGUGGUGUAGCGGUGAAAUGCUUAGAUAUCACGAAGAACUCCGAUUGCGAAGGCAGUUCACUGGACCGCAACUGACACUGAGGCUCGAAAGUGUGGGUAUCAAACAGGAUUAGAUACCCGAGUAGUC